rnacentral:tRNA from 1 species
GGAGAUGUACCUCAGUGGUAGAGCACUUGCCUAGCAUGCAGGAGUCCUGGGGUUUGAUACCCAGCACCCCCA